UUCUUAUCCAGAGCGGCGGAGGGACUGGCCCGAUGAUGCCCGGCAACCAAUCACCUGUAUUUUAACAGGGAGAUAAUGGUGCUAAUUCCUGCAGAGUUAUCAAACUCUGAAAGAUGAGAA
rnacentral:ncRNA from 2 species